rnacentral:rRNA from 1 species
GACGAACGCUGGCGGCGUGCUUAACACAUGCAAGUCGAACGGUGAACGAGGGAGCUUGCUCCCUCCGGAUCAGUGGCGAACGGGUGAGUAACACGUGAGCAAUCUGCCCCGAACUCUGGGAUAAGCGUUGGAAACGACGUCUAAUACCGGAUACGACGCGGGAGGGCAUCCUCUCCGCGUGGAAAGAACUUCGGUUCGGGAUGAGCUCGCGGCCUAUCAGCUUGUUGGUGAGGUAACGGCUCACCAAGGCGACGACGGGUAGCCGGCCUGAGAGGGUGACCGGCCACACUGGGACUGAGACACGGCCCAGACUCCUACGGGAGGCAGCAGUGGGGAAUAUUGCACAAUGGGCGCAAGCCUGAUGCAGCAACGCCGCGUGAGGGACGACGGCCUUCGGGUCGUAAACCUCUUUUAGCAGGGAAGAAGCGAAAGUGACGGUACCUGCAGAAAAAGCACCGGCUAACUACGUG